rnacentral:rRNA from 1 species
AACGAACGCUGGCGGCGUGCCUAAUACAUGCAAGUCGAACGAGAAAGUUCUUCGGAAUGAGUACAGUGGCGCACGGGUGAGUAAUGCGUAGGUGACAUGCCUUAUUGUGGGGGACAACUUCGGGAAACCGGAGCUAAUACCGCAUAAGCUCGCAAGAGGAAAGGUGGCGCAAGCUAUCGCAAUAAGAUUGGCCUACGUAACAUUAGCUAGUUGGUGGGGUAAAGGCCUACCAAGGCGACGAUGUUUAACUGGUCUGAGAGGAUGAUCAGUCACACUGGAAAUGAGACACGGUCCAGAGUCCUACGGGAGGCAGCAGUAGGGAAUAUUGCGCAAUGGGGGAAACCCUGACGCAGCAACGCCGCGUGAGUGAGGAAGGCCUUCGGGUUGUAAAACUCUGUCCUAAGGGAAAAAUGGUAUAAUGGUUAAUACCCAUUGUAUUUGAUGGUACCUUAGAAGAAAGCACCGGCUAACUUCGUGCCAGCAGCCGCAGUAAAAC